rnacentral:rRNA from 1 species
AGUGAACGCUGGCGGCGUGCUUAAGACAUGCAAGUCGAACGGCAGUCUUCGGACUGUAGUGGCGCACGGGUGAGUAACGCGUAACUGACCUACCCCAAAGUCGCGGAUAACGAUUCGAAAGAAUCGCUAAUACGUGAUGUGCUGUCAGAUUGUGUUCUGUCAGUAAAGAUUGAUUGCUUUGGGAUGGGGUUGCGUUCCAUCAGCUAGUUGGUGGGGUAAAGGCCCACCAAGGCGACGACGGAUAGCCGGCCUGAGAGGGUGGCCGGCCACAGGGGCACUGAGACACGGGUCCCACUCCUACGGGAGGCAGCAGUUAGGAAUCUUCCACAAUGGGCGAAAGCCUGAUGGAGCGACGCCGCGUGAGGGAUGAAGGUCUCCGGAUCGUAAACCUCUGAAUCAGGGACGAAAGACACUUCGGUGGGAUGACGGUACCUGAGUAAUAGCACCGGCUAACUCCGUGCCAGCCGCCGCCGUAACAC